rnacentral:rRNA from 1 species
AACAGGCUUAUCUCCCCCAAGAGUCCACAUCGACGGGGAGGUUUGGCACCUCGAUGUCGGCUCAUCGCAUCCUGGGGCUGUAGUCGGUCCCAAGGGUUGGGCUGUUCGCCCAUUAAAGCGGUACGCGAGCUGGGUUCAGAACGUCGUGAGACAGUUCGGUCCCUAUCCGUCGCGGGCGCAGGAAAUUUGAGAGGAGCUGUCCUUAGUACGAGAGGACCGGGAUGGACGCACCGCUGGUGUACCAGUUGUUCUGCCAAGGGCAUCGCUGGGUAGCUAUGUGCGGACGGGAUAAGUGCUGAAAGCAUCUAAGCAUGAAGCCCCCCUCAAGAUGAGAUUUCCCAUUCCGCAAGGAAGUAAGAUCCCUGAAAGAUGAUCAGGUUGAUAGGUCUGAGGUGGAAGUGUGGCGACACAUGGAGCUGACAGAUACUAAUCGAUCGAGGACUUAACC